rnacentral:rRNA from 1 species
AAAUUGAAGAGUUUGAUCAUGGCUCAGAUUGAACGCUGGCGGCAGGCCUAACACAUGCAAGUCGAACGGUAGCACAGAGAGCUUGCUCUCGGGUGACGAGUGGCGGACGGGUGAGUAAUGUCUGGGAAACUGCCUGAUGGAGGGGGAUAACUACUGGAAACGGUGGCUAAUACCGCAUAAC